UACGGGGGGGGCAAGCGGUUGUUCGGAAUUACUGGGCGUAAAGGGCUCGUAGGCGGCCAACUAAGUCGGAUGUGAAAUCCCCAGGCUCAACCUGGGAACUGCAUCCGAUACUGGAUGGCUUGAAUUCGGGAGAGGGAUGCAGAAUUCCAGGUGUAGCGGUGAAAUGCGUAGAUAUCUGGAGGAAUACCGGUGGCGAAGGCGGCAUCCUGGACCGACAUUUGACGCUGAGGAGCGAAAGCCAGGGGAGCAAAGCGGG
rnacentral:rRNA from 1 species